UUAAUUGAAACCAAAAAGAGGUACACCACUGUUAAUGGUGUCAUUGGACCCCCCCCCCAAUUAAA
rnacentral:tRNA from 1 species